UNGCCUAGGUAAUUUGAGAGAUCCUGCUC
rnacentral:piRNA from 1 species